rnacentral:lncRNA from 10 species
ACACUUAAGCAGACUGUUCGCUUUACAAGAUAAGUGGCCUUUAUCCAAAGAAAUGACGUUGGAUCUCAGACUGCAGGGUGCUUGUAGGAGUGGGAAGCAAGCGUUGCUAGGAGGAAUAGAAAUUUUCAUCUUUUCUGGAUGUGGGGUCUACUCUCCCUUCUUCAUGUGUCUAUUUUGGGUCUUCCCUCCACUAAAGCUAAGCUCUCUGAUGGCAGUUUUGUCCAUCUGGUUAGAACAGUGCCUGGGCAAUAGUAGAUACUCAAAAAGUAUUAAUACUUGUUAUUUUAGUGAAUGUUUAGUAAAUGGCUUUUAGUGAAUGUUGUCUGUUUCUAGUGCCCUGCAGCACAGAUCUGAUAAACUGAGGGAGAGAAGGGUAAGUAAGAAAGCCUGAAAUUUAAAAAUAAAUAUAAUUUUAUUUUAAAUGAUGUACAUGUUAUUGUUGAAAAAACUUAAAUA